rnacentral:rRNA from 1 species
AACACGUAGAGUAACCUGCCCUUGACUCUGGGAUAAGCCUGGGAAACUGGGUCUAAUACUGGAUAUGCACCGUGGACCGCAUGGUUCUUGGUGGAAAGAUUUAUUGGUCAGGGAUGGACUCGCGGCCUAUCAGCUUGUUGGUGAGGUAAUGGCUCACCAAGGCGACGACGGGUAGCCGGCCUGAGAGGGUGACCGGCCACACUGGGACUGAGACACGGCCCAGACUCCUACGGGAGGCAGCAGUGGGGAAUAUUGCACAAUGGGCGAAAGCCUGAUGCAGCGACGCCGCGUGAGGGAUGACGGCCUUCGGGUUGUAAACCUCUUUCAGUAGGGAAGAAGCGAAAGUGACGGUACCUGCAGAAGAAGCGCCGGCUAACUACGUGCCAGCAGCCGCGGUAAUACGUAGGGCGCAAGCGUUAUCCGGAAUUAUUGGGCGUAAAGAGCUCGUAGGCGGUUUGUCGCGUCUAUCGUGAAAGUCCGAGGCUCAACCUCGGAUCUGCGGUGGGUACGGGCAGACUAGAGUGAUGUAGGGGAGACUGGAAUUCCUGGUGUAGCGGUGAAAUGCGCAGAUAUCAGGAGGAACACCGAUGGCGAAGGCAGGUCUCUGGGCAUUAACUGACGCUGAGGAGCGAAAGCAUGGGGAGCGAACAGGAUUAGAUACCCUGGUAGUCCAUGCCGUAAACGUUGGGCACUAGGUGUGGGGGACAUUCCACGUUUUCCGCGCCGUAGCUAACGCAUUAAGUGCCCCGCCUGGGGAGUAC